ACCCACUACUCAAAAGCUAAGGAAAUAAAGGCAAUCUAAGUGUUUGAGAUCUUGUCCUUAUCCACUCCCUAAAAAUAGGGUUUUCUUAAGCAUUCUCUGUUUUUCACAGUUUCCAAAUAUCCGCCGCUUCCAUGUUUCCAUCUCCUCUCUCAGCUUCUUUGCUCUUUCUCCUUCUUUGGGUGAACAACGUUCUCCAUCUUGGUAUGCAAAGUUAUAUCAGUUCGCAAAGAUGUGAAUCCAGUGGAGGUGUUUUGAGUUCUGGGUGAAAUUUUUGUUGGGAUUGAACCAUGGUACUCCUUCUGGAAGUUCGAGGUCAAAACACAACAUCAAAAGAGGAAAGAACCAAGAAUGAAACUUGGAAUAUAAGUAUUCCAGAUAUCAUGGAGUUGGAGAUCUCACAAACAUCAGAAAAGAUUCAAUCAAGCAUACAAACGGACAAACUGAAGAUUACCAAUAAAAGUUCGUCAAUCAAGGAAGAAGACACAAAGGCUAAAUUGAUCUAAAACAAUAAAUCAAGUUAGGAAGCAAAUACAAAGACAAUCAAGGAAGGAAAAUUCAACGGCAAUAUCUCAAUCAAGGAAGCUGAGAUCAGAAGUCAAUCAAGGCCAAAUAUAGAAGGAAACUGAAGAUUUUCCUUGACCUUAUUCUUGGAAAAUAAGGAACCCCUGCCUUCUUUUUCAAGGAUCGAAUCUCUUGGGUUGCCUUCUCUUCGAAGGAAAGAUUCAAGUCUCAAGCACUAUAAAAGAGAAAUCGUCUACCAUUGGAGAGAUAUACAACGAGUUUGAAUCAUCUCACAUUCUCUACUCUACUUUUAACAAGAAUUGUAUUACCUAGUUCUACUGUGUAAACAAAAAAGAGAAGAGAGAAAAAUAUUGUUGGCAAGGCUUUGUAUCAAAAGAAAACAGAGAGUGAAAACAAUCUGAGUUUUAAUAGUGAAAAAUUACACUCGCCUUUGUACUCACAUCAAAGGUUACAAAGUAUAGAAGAGAACACCCUUGCAACCCAAGGGGAUUGGACGUUAGAUCCAUUUUUGGAUCCCAACCAGUAUAAAACGUUUUGUGUCAAGUUUACCUUAUGCACUUUCCAGCUUUCAGUAUACUUCUUGGCAAACUGUAGUCGACUAAGGAUCUUCACAAGUCAGAUACUCACAAAAAAACAACAAUUCACCC